rnacentral:rRNA from 1 species
GACGAACGCUGGCGGCGUGCCUAAUACAUGCAAGUAGAACGCUGAAGAGAGGAGCUUGCUCUUCUUGGAUGAGUUGCGAACGGGUGAGUAACGCGUAGGUAACCUGCCUUGUAGCGGGGGAUAACUAUUGGAAACGAUAGCUAAUACCGCAUAACAAUGGAUGACCCAUGUCAUUUAUUUGAAAGGGGCAAAUGCUCCACUACAAGAUGGACCUGCGUUGUAUUAGCUAGUAGGUGAGGUAACGGCUCACCUAGGCGACGAUACAUAGCCGACCUGAGAGGGUGGUCGGCCACACUGGGACUGGGACACGGCCCAGACUCCUACGGGAGGCAGCAGUAGGGAAUCUUCGGCAAUGGGGGCAACCCUGACCGAGCAACGCCGCGUGAGUGAAGAAGGUUUUCGGAUCGUAAAGCUCUGUUGUAAGUCAAGAACGAGUGUGAGAGUGGAAAGUUCACACUGUGACGGUAGCUUACCAGAAAGGGACGGCUAACUACGUG